UACGUAGGUGGCAAGCGUUAUCCAGAAUUAUUGGGCGUAAAGCGCGCGCAGGCGGUUUCUUAAGUCUGAUGUGAAAGCCCACGGCUCAACCGUGGAGGGUCAUUGGAAACUGGGGAACUUGAGUGCAGAAGAGAAAGGCGGAAUUCCACGUGUAGCGGUGAAAUGCGUAGAGAUGUGGAGGAACACCAGUGGCGAAGGCGGCUUUUUGGUCUGUAACUGACGCUGAGGCGCGAAAGCGUGGGGAGCAAACAGG
rnacentral:rRNA from 1 species